rnacentral:lncRNA from 1 species
CUGCAUCACUAUAUUUACAAGUUAAAUAUUUAAAACCUCAGUCAUCUUGGAAUUAGCAAAUAUUUAGUGCCGAUAUGUUUUUUUCUUAAUUAACUCUAAACUAGCUCAAUUUAUUUCAAAUCAUAAUUAUCUCUAAAGAUUUUUAUUUAUGAGGGGAAGAGAUAUACCAAAGACUACUCCAAACUUACAGGAAUUAGAUCAGAAGUCUUACAAUUUUCUCCAAAUUUUCUUCAUGGCUGCCUCAAAGAGAAAUCAUGCUAUACUCUAUAUUUUCUGCAGUAAAGCCAAGGAUAUGGGAGGGAAAAAAAGGGGAAAGAGUCAUGGAAAGCCAGCUUCUUGCUGAAACUCCACUAGGUGCCCUGCUGGAAUCUCCCUUGAAAGAGCGGUACAAGCUGCUUCCCUGUCCUGACAAGCACAAUAAAAGGUGCAAACCUGAGGAACGUGGGGACCUCACAGAGGCAGGCGCAGCCGGCUCAUCGAGAUGUGUGGACAGCAGAAAGCGAGUGAGGCAAGAGAAAAUCAGCACAGGGUAAACAUCAGAGAUCAAAGGGCAGCAGCUGGAGUCACUGGGUGGAGAAGCAGCGCAACUGUGGCUUACCCAGGCAGCCAGGGUUCCAGGAGAUUCUUCUAGGCCAGAGCUCUGACAUAUUCACCAAACAGCUGACAACUUUGCCUUUUGCAUGGGAAAUAAGUGGAAAUGAAUCUUGGCCAUCCACCACUGGUUUCGAAAAGAUCCAGGCAAGGUCUGUGUGCACCUGCCACACAAAAAUGAAUUUCAUGUGAUUGCAACAAACAGAACAAUAGUGCAAGCAAAAUUCCUAGGAAAACUUUUGUCCAGAGGUAAUGCCAGCUGGUUGUAGCAUUGCAACUAAAGUUCAGAGAGGGACUCACUCAUUCCACAGGGCUCCAGUGGGGUUUUGGACUUACAACUGGAUGUCAUCACCUCUGCGGGUGCCUGAAUAAUGACUCUCAUAGAUUUUCAGGGUUAUACUCUGGAACAACUUGUAGUUGUUAUUAAUACCUUACAUUACAAAACGGGUUUUGCAGAUGUGAUUAAGCCUCUAUCCUGAAGAGCGUUGGACCCUGGAGCUGCUGGCCACAUCUUGAUCUGCCAUAUGUGGUCCAAGAAUGAAGUCAACACGAAGGAGAAUGAAGGUGCUGAGGGAUAAAGUUAUUGACAUUCUAGGAGCUCCUGGAUCAAACCAUGCCUGAACUCAAUUUAUCCCUUGAACUUUUCAAUUACAUGAAUAAAUCCUCCUUUUGCCUGAGUCAAUGUGGAUUAGUAUCAUUGGCAUUCAGAAGAUUCCUAAAGUCUCAGGUCUUCUGCACAUCUAUAACCAUGGCAAUUGCGGUCCUGCUCUCCUUUCCCCUCCCCUGAGCAGGCAAGCUUUCCUUCUCUAUCAUGUAAACCUCCUGGGUCAUUCAGAGUAUUUCUCAAAUGUUACCUGGAGUUUCCCAAGACUUCAGUUCUCACUGACCAUUUACUUCUUAAACUGCUAGGAUGAUAACCUAUAACUUUGCAUCUAACCAAUCCCUUAGCACUUUCCUUAGAGACUUCUUAGAGAUCUUUUUGAUGCCUAAGGGUAGGAAUCAGGGCUUCUCUAUCUUGUAUAUGCACUGCCCCCCACCCACAGGUCCAUAGAAUAACAGCUGAGGACCUGUAGCUCUACAAGGGCAGGGACUGUCAAACAUGCCAGACUGCACAUGGUAGUUACCACUAGAGGGCUCUGGGUAUGGGCAAUAAGCAGGACUUCUGCAUUUUACAUCUAUGCUAUCAUUCGAGUCUUGUAUGAGCAUUUAUUUUACAAAUCUCUAUCUUGCAAAGCAAACCCUUAGUGUGAAUAACUGAGGAGUGGUGGAUCGGCCAGCUCUUCCGUGCAGUGUUCUAAAGCCUCUUGCUCCUGUCUCUCCUGUGGGAAACCCAUAGUUACGGCUUCAAGCAGAGACCCAAGCACCACCUCAGGGUCUUGACCUUGUGUGGGAAUAAUCUAUCACCAAGAUGCAGACAGAGACAAACUGCUUCACAGAGCAUUUUAUCCCCUAGAAAAUCCCCAACCCCAGCAUCCUGGGUGCUGCCCAACCUCUUCAAAUACAAAGGCAAAUAAAAUAAAUAAAAGUAAAUAUUGUACUCAUAAGCAACAGAAUGCCUAGCAACCAAGAACAAGGGAGGGCUGGAGGAAGAAGGUUGACUUUCGCAGGCCCUUGUGUAUAAACUGCAGUAAAAGUCUUCUCUGUGUGAAUAAUAUAUUUUUGAGCGUUAAAUUAUAGAAGGUGUAAGGAAUGCUAAGGCUGAGACCCAACAGAGAGAGCUGGCCCCACCCUGAAUGGGAGGGGCAGGGGUCUCCUUGGUCUUUGUCCCUGCUGACUGGUAUUGAGGGAGGGGGAGUCUCCGCUGUAGCUUCAGGAAUGGAACACAGGGCACCAGGCCUCAGUUAAUCCCUUUAGGGACCCUUAGCCCUGAAACAAUGCUGGUGCAACCCCACAUGUAACUCAGAAGAAAAUGUUAAGUCACGAAAUAAAUGUAAGAGCUCUGAUGUUUUUCUAUAACACCCAUUUCAAUGCUUUGUUAGAAAGUAUGUACGUAAAGCACAUGACAUUGUUCUCAUUAAAUUUUUUUGUUACGAAAACUUUUAAACACACUCAGAAGAGUAGGAUUUUUGAACCUCUCAUCUGGGUACAAUAUUAUUAAAAUUCUGC